AGAGUUUGAUCUUGGCUCAGGACGAACGCUGGCGGCGUGCUUCAUACAUGCUNGUCGAGCGGGAUCCAUCCAGUGGCAACAUUGGUGAANAUCUACCGUCGAACGGGUGAGUAACACGUGAGGAACCUGCCCCACAUACCGGGAUAACCCUCUGAAAGGANAGCUAAUACCGGAUGCCCCCAUCCGACCGCAUGGUCUGAUGAGGAAAUGGAUUCCUCUCUGGGAGGGCCUCACGGCCUAUCAGCUUGUCGGUGCCGUAACCGCUCCCCCCGGUAUCGACAGGUAGCUCGUCUG
rnacentral:rRNA from 1 species